GCGGCUUCCGGCUUCCUGGGACGGUGCCGCCAAAUCAGAGUGCAAGGGUGCAGGUUAAGCUCAUGGAACAGACUUGAGUCAGUCACCGUGACGGAGAGCAAGAGCGCGAGGCCAGAAUGCUCGGCAGGGGAACGUGCUCCGAGAGCCCGCGCCGGCUCUGACGUCAUAGGCGUGCGUCGGAGCAGGAACGUGGUCGGGCACUGACCACGUGCCAGUCGUAAGCACUGAAGAUUGGGAGGAAGAUGAGCCAGGAUCUGGCCUGGGCAGCCCACAUCUGUGCCAACAAACCACCUUCUACAAAUGGGAAGGUGCCGUCUGUCCUGCCCCGAUACUCCUGAGGGUGAGUGCGGAGGCCCAGCCUCCAGGGGCAGCUCUCGGAACUGGGGUGAAGGCAGAGCUCUCCCCUGAGUCACCCUCUUCCUCUUCUGCUCCACUGCCUACAAACACCCAACAGGCACCGUCGGCUCUGCCCUGACAGGAUGAGCCCCUCCUGGCUCUCGGAGACCCCCAGACCACGGCGCAAUUACACAAGUGACCGGAAAUGCGCCCAAUUGAAUAAAUUUAGAUCCACCAUAA